GUCACUGACGUGGUCUUCCUGUCUGGGUUGGCACCCCCCCUUGGGUUGUGCCAUGGCGGAGAUCGUUGUGGGCUAUACUCGGCCUUGUCUUAGGACGGUAAGUUGGUGGUUGGAGACAUCCCUCUAGUGGUGUGGGGGCUGUGCUUUGGCAAAGUGGGUGGGGUUAUAUCCUGCCUGUAGGGCUUUCUCCUAUAGAGCUCCAUUUUUAUGGAAUGGUCUGCCUACCAAUGUGAGAGACGCAGACUCAGUCUCAACCUUUAAGUCUUUACUGAAGACUUAUCUCUUCAGUAGGUCCUAUGAUUAAGUAUAGUCUGGCCCAGGAGUGUGAAGGUGAACGGAAAGGCUGGAGCAACGAACCGCCCUUGCUGUCUCUGCCUUGCCGGUUCCCCUCUUUCCACUGGGAUUCUCUGC
rnacentral:lncRNA from 1 species